CCGCCCCGUACCGUGCGACCUGCCGGGCUUGGAGGGGGCGAGGACGGGAACGGCGGGCGUGGGGAACCGUGAAAUCGCCCUGGAGGUGACUCCGAGAGCCCAGAGGGCCCAGGCUCGGGGAACGAGCUCAGGCUGAGAAGGACAAGCCGCCGCCGAACGAAUCCACUCACCCACCCCCAGCGGGACGCUCACAGACAAGGAGACGAUGGUGAAACUACUAAACCUGAGCUCCUGAGCACUAACCAGCUUGUGGGGAGACAGCGUCCGACCACCGUGUGGCUCACCCCCUUUGUUGUACAGAUGAGGAGACCGAAGAAACGAGGGUCAUGGACUCAUAAUAAUUGGUGGUGUUAGAAUUCGAACAGUAAUAACCUGCCAGGCAUUCCUCCUGCUACACCACGCUACCCUGUGUGGAGACUCAUUCAUUUGUUCACCUCAUAACGGUGUACUAACACUGUCACACUGCGCUCACUCUGGAACCGGCAACUGCACUAAGCAGUUUAGAGAUACUGACUCAUUUGAUCCUCACCACAACGCUUUUCUCCAAUUUCUAUUUGAGGACACAGGCACAGAGAAGUUAUGACUUGCCGGGCACCAAAUACCUAUUGGAACAGACCCUGUUCCAAAGGAGAGAGAUACAGCCGUGAACAAAACACAGCCCUGCCCCAGAGAGCUUACAUGCUAGACAUGGGAAGUUCCUGUAGAUCAUAAAGGCCAGGGGGCUGGAAAAAUAAAGCAGGGCAGGGGGACAGAGUAGAUGCCCUUGGAGGUCUGUAUGAAAAGAAAGGGCAAGUUAUACUUGCUAAUAAUUUAAAUAAACUUUGCAGCCCAACUCGCCUAAAGAUCUUCAUGAUGCACACUGAAUACAUACAGUGAGUGCAAACUCUUAUUUUUUAUUGUCCUGUGGCUACAUCAGAACCCUUGAGCCUAAGGUACCGAGAUCAGGAAGAUGGUUUUCCGAAUGCCAGGCGUUCAGAGCUGGCAGACUGUGGACACCGCAGAAGCCCCUUGUCCCUUUCAUCGUUAACCUAAUAAAUAUUAAUAUCCGG